rnacentral:piRNA from 1 species
CGACGAGAAGCAGCAAGUCAUCCGC